AGCGAACGAUGGCGGCAGGCUUAACACAUGCAAGUCGAGCGGGCAUAGCAAUAUGUCAGCGGCAGACGGGUGAGUAACGCGUGGGAACGUACCUUUUGGUUCGGAACAACUGAGGGAAACUUCAGCUAAUACCGGAUAAGCCCUUACGGGGAAAGAUUUAUCGCCGAAAGAUCGGCCCGCGUCUGAUUAGCUAGUUGGUGAGGUAAUGGCUCACCAAGUCGACGAUCAGUAGCUGGUCUGAGAGGAUGAUCAGCCACAUUGGGACUGAGAAACGGCCCUAACUCCUACGGGAGGCAGCAGUGGGGAAUAUUAGACAAUGGGCGCCAGCCUGAUCCAGCCAUGCCGCGUGAGUGAUGAAGGCCCUAGGGUUGUAAAGCUCUUUUGUGCGGGAAGAUAAUGACGGUACCGCAAGAAUAAGCCCCGGCUAACUUCGUGCCAGCCGCCGCAGUAA
rnacentral:rRNA from 1 species